GGAGUCUCACCCUGUUGCCCAGGCUGGAGUGCAGUGGCACGAUCUUGGCUCACUGCAAGCUCCACCUCCCGAGUUCAAGCCAUUCUCCUGCCUCAGCCUCCCCAAGUAUCUGGGACUACAGAAAAAGAGCAAGUAACCUUUAUGGAGACUGAAACCAUAGCCAUUUCCAUGGAAGGUUGGGGCAAGAAGCCCUAUUUUCAAUUUGCUCACACAGAGGCUCUUCAUGGGAAGGCCAGACUGCCAUGGAUGAAACAUACAGCGGGGAUGUAUCCGAACACCGUCUCCUGGCCUGUGAAACAGACCAAGAAGUCCCCUUGGAGUUAGAGGGGCCUCUGUGAGCCCUGAGAGAUGCUGCAGCCCAAGGAAGACAUGGGAGGAGGCACUAAGCAGUGUCCCAGGAAGUCACAUAAAGAAAACAUCAUUGGCUGCGCUGCUGCAAAUCUGUGUCUGGGAGUUUGGGCCAGGGUGAGAGGGUCGCAGGCUCUGGGCGAGGUUUAGGAAGCAGGAAAGAGGAGUGGACCCGCUGGAAGCCAGAGGACAAGGUGGACGGGGUACAAGGAAAGGGGUCCGCCAAGGGCAGCCUGGGAGGACCCUCCUUGAUCAUGAAAAAAAUGAGCAAACGGACACAAAUGUCUUUUCAAAAAAGAUGCCAAAGGUUGGCCUCAGCAAAGUCCCCUGAAGCAUCCCCUUCUUGCUUUCCCUGAGAAGCUAGAUUCUGCGUGUGGGGUGGGGCAUCCGGACUUGGUGGCUUUCCUUCUGAGCUUUCCCCACCUGAGUCAUCUGCAAAGGGCAAGGCUGCAGGCGGGAGAGGCCGGUGUGAUGUGACCGCCAGCCACGGUCCCCACACCCCUCUCUGAGGGCUGUCCCCUCCACCUCAUGCCAUGACAGGAAACUUUAUGACCUGUUCACUAAAAAAUCACUUAAGGAUUGGAAAGCACCUGUCUAUAAAUAAAGGCAAGGGGGCUGCCAUUUUAAAAUUGGGGGUGAGACUGGUCGUGUGCUCUCGAGUGGGCGGGGACUUACAGUAACUCAGAGGCAGGGCAGUUCAGGAGCUGUACAUGA
rnacentral:lncRNA from 1 species